UUUUCCUCCACAGCAGGUGCUAUUUCAAACCGUGUGGCUGAAGAUAGAAAACAGGCCAAAGCUGUUGUGGUUAAGGACGAAAAGAAAAAGCAACUCAUGUCUGAUGAGCCUUCUAAGCCGAGUGAUGAUAAGAACUUGCAUAUUUGCUACAUUAUAGGUCAUUUUUACACCGGAAAAACCAAGCUUCAAGAUCGUAUUCGAGAUACCAGUAUUCAACAAGGUGCUGAGGAAUAUUGCAGUAUAUCACACAAAAAAUGCUGAUUAUUGACCACCAAUCAUUCAAUAACUCCCAUUUUUGGGGUUCAAGUCUAUGUUGAUAUUGCAAUUUUGGUUGUUAACAUUAUGCGUGGCUGCGAGCCACAAACUAUAAAGUUGCUCAAUCUAUUAAAAACGAGUAACAAAAAAUUCACCGUCGCCUAGAAUAAGGUGGAUAUGAUUCCUCGCUGGAAAACAUGUCCUAAUGCUCCAAUUUGUAAAGCAGUGAUGCAGCAGGAUCGGUAUGUUCGAGCUGAGUUUGAAAUAAGGGUCAUUGAGAUUAUUGCUCAAUUCAAGAGUCAGGGGCUAAAUACUGAAUUGUAUUAUAAAAAUAAAAACAAAACAAUGGGAGAAACAUUCAACAUUGUGCCAACAAGUGCAAUAAGGUUAUUGAAGGCUAUGGAACUACUACUGAUGUUGUUUUAGUUAAUGGUGUUCUUCAUGAAGGUGGUCAAAUAGUUGUAUCUGGAAUGCAGG